rnacentral:rRNA from 1 species
UGGGGAAUAUUGCACAAUGGACGGAAGUUUGAUGCAGCGACGCCGCGUGGAGGGUGUAGGCCUUAGGGUUGUGAACUCCUUUUUCUCGCGAAAAAGGCACAGUUUUGGCUGUGUUGAUGGUAGUGGGGGAAGAAGCGCCGGCUAACUACGUGCCAGCAGCCGCGGUAAUACGUAGGGCGCGAGCGUUGUCCGGAUUUAUUGGGCGUAAAGAGCUCGUAGGUGGUUCGUCGCGUCUGUCGUGAAAGCCAGCAGCUUAACUGUUGGUCUGCGGUGGGUACGGGCGGGCUUGAGUGCGGUAGGGGUGACUGGAAUUCCUGGUGUAGCGGUGGAAUGCGCAGAUAUCAGGAGGAACACCGAUGGCGAAGGCAGGUCACUGGGCCGUUACUGACACUGAGGAGCUAAAGCGUGGGGAGCGAACAGG